UCUGCAGGCCAGCUUGGAGACCGCAGGGAAAGGAGAGGAGUUUUUUCACCAUUCUUUGGAGGGGAAAAAGGUGACCAGCCAUGUGAGAUCUCUUGCGGAGUAGCCAUAGGCUGCUUCUAUAGGUGGAAAGUGGUAACAGUUCCUUGGUGUGUACCUCCCUUAAGACUUGUACCAAGAAAGCCGGGCAGAGGUUAUCAGCUGUGGAACUGGGACCUAUGCAAGGAAGAGAGCUGCCCUGCUGUAAGACCACAGGAACAAUGGUUGACAACCAACCUAUCUUCCAACCAGGCUUCCAGCCUGCAAAUAAAUGAAGUGCCAGCAAUAGCUUCACUCUCCAGAAUUAGAACCAUGCUGCAAACUGCUCUUAAGCUCCUAAACCCGAAUAACAGGGGUGGGGGAUGGAGUGGGGGGGGGGGCACAGCAAGGCAGAGGAAAUCUUCGGAAAAACAUGCUGCCGUGAAACAUUCUUACACAGCACCAGUAAAACUCACUCAGAGGAUAACUAACACACACACCGGAUAAAUUGCCAAAGCGACAGAUUUGGAACCCAGAAUGUCAUGGCUUCUAGAAGAACACAAGGAAAAAAAAUGUUUUACAAUAGAAAAAGUUUCCAACUGGCGCUUGGGGUAAACCACAGUCUGUAGAAAUCCAGGAGUAAAUUUGGUGAGAGGUCAGAUAAAACAGGGAAGGCAAGCAAGGAGGCGGGGAUGGUAAGGGGAGGAGAAUACUGUGUGACACCCAGGAGGCAGCCAGAGAGCCAGGAUGCACCAGGGAGACUGGAUCGUUGAAAUGAAGAAGAAAGGGAGGCAGGUUUGUGAAAGCUAAAAAAACAAAAACAAAAACAAAAAACGGCACCAGAACAAGAAAGACUUCACUCAGAAGAGGCACUGUGGGUAGACAGAAAUGCUAUGUGUUGGAGAGGACGUGGCCCCUCCCACCCAAGGCUCAUUCUUGUGGGGAAGGCAUUGGUACCUAAGGCAGUGUUCAGGGCUAAGGUUCUGGGAAAUGGGAACAGAUCCAUGAGGACACUGACGUAAUCAAUGGGAUGAGCUACUGAAGGGACCAGUAGUGAGUGGUAACAAUCCUGGAAGGUGGGAGCUGAUUGGAGGAGAGAAAGGUGGGAGCUGAUUGGAGGAGAGGCAGGUCUAAGAAAGGUCAUUAAGACCUUUGAAGGGUGUGACCUCUCCUUGGCCUUUCCUCACUCUGUCUCUCUCUGUCCCCAACCAGCAGCUUCUUCUCUCCAAUCCCCUGUCACCCUGAUGCUCGGUCUCACUGCAGGCCCAUUGCAAUAAAACCAGCUGACCUCAGAGGCCUCGAGUAUAAAUGCACCUUUCCUUUCUUGCGGAGGUUUUCCCCUCAAGUAUUUUGUCAGUGAUGCAAUAUGACUAACAGAAGGAGUGGAAAUAAAAUUUGGACACAGUAGCAGAGUUUACAGGGAAAAGAGAGGUCAAGUCGGCAAGAAUAAACGGGGGGCGGGGCUACAGGGGGACGGGGGUCCAGACGAGUACCACUGCCACACAGUCAACCUCUUGGUUAUGAAAGAAAUUGGGAUAAAAUCGAAACUCCGUCUGAUGCUCCAAGCUUGUAUUGUUUGUUUUCCUAAGGGAAGGCUGGAGUUUAAGUGGCAAAGGCAACCGUCUGAGCAUUAGGGAACAUAAUAAAGUUGAAAACAGAGUUCCUGGAACUGGCUGGCUAUUCCUCCAUUUGCAAUAUGCCCCAUCAUGUUGGAGAAGGCUUUGGCCAGUAAAUUUGAUUUGAUUCCGGGGAAAUGGAAAUGAAAUUCAUGGCAUUGGUGACUUUCCCAUCUCCAUCAAGAAGUUAACAGCACUGCAGUCUUCAGAGGCACUCAAUGACUUUGAAUUCAAACCAACUUCCCUUCUGUAAUUUUAUUGCAAAUAUUACUUGUAGUCAGUGUCAGCAGAUCCCCCAGGCCUAAAGUCAUGCUAGGAAGAAACUUAACUUUGAGGCUUGAGGCUUUUAAAGCCAAUAAGAGAGCUCCUAAAAAGAGAGCUAGAACGAGUGCUUUUGUAUUAAGAGACAAUCAUCAAUACAAUGAGGCAUAAACCUCCUAAAAAUAGAGCCAGUCUUUGGGCUCCCUUCUAACUGUGAAAUAUACAAAAAAAAAAAAAAAAAAAACACCAGGCAAAAAUGUGAUUAGAAUUCCCAUGCUUUACAGAGAAAGCUUGAAAUAAGGCACGAAUAUUCAUGCAACCCGCUGUAAUAUGCAUAACAAUAGAAAUGCUGAAAAUAUACCGCCUGGGAAAAUGCUAAUGAAACAUUAAUAAGCAAAAAGAAAAAAAUCUCUGUGCAGAAUCAGUGAAGGAAGAGGGCUAUCAGAGAGCAGAGAUCUAAUGUUUAUGGAAGAGCAACGGUUUAUAAAUAUAAAGAGGCGGAAUUAGAAAUGCUCAAGGUGGUUUGCUUUAUUUUAGGAAAACCCCAGGAAGGAGGGGAAAAAAAAACCCAAAAAAAUAAGUAUGUUCCAAAAUUUCUUUUUUAAAAAAUAGCAAUUUACUAUCUCUCAGUAUUAGAAAUCUGCGAGGUUCUAGUUUUUCUUUAUGCUUUUUUGUUUUUGAAAUACCUAUAAUCAACUGUAUCACUAUCUUAAAAUACCCCUUUUAUAAACGGAAUUUCAGGUGUAAGGCCAGUAUUGUGUAUAAAUAAGGGAAAGUGCAUAUGCAAGUUGUUAGCCUACAAGAAUAAUAUUAUUAUAAGGAUGACAGGGACAGAUGGAUUCUGUUUUCAUUUUGGUGACAAAUAUGUAGGUCUCGAGUCAGUAUAAACAACUAUAGAGAGACUGAGGUGGUGACGGAUAAAAAUAUCUUUUAUAAAUGAGAAAAGAAAAGGAAAAAUUCAUUAGAAUCACGAGAGUAUGACUUUUCAAACCAUAAAACAAAAGGCCCUACCUACCUGGCAGGAAAGACACCAGGGGAGACACGGUUAGCUGAAAGCUGGCUUCCCUAGGACAAGGCCCUCCAGAUGUGCUAACCCGUGGUUUCCCCAUACAGGGAAACGCAACUGCACAGCUUGUGGCAGUGAGUGCUACACUGGCAAUCUCCCUUCUUAAAAAUUAAAACAAUAAGUGCAACUAGAAGAGCCACUGAAUAAAGAGACUUUUUUUUUUUUUUUUUUUUUUUGGUUUUUGAGACAGCAGUUUUCUUGCUCUAGAGUUUUGAACUGCAAUGGUUGUGAGGUGUUUCUACUCAGACACAAAUAAAACCGCAAGUCUGCACCUAUAUAAGAUUAUCUAGUAUCCAGUUCCACUCCAGGAGACAAAGACACCCGAGAAUAAGUUUGAAGUGAAGUAACUAUCUUACUCUCUGGCUUUUGUGCAGCUCCUGCUACUCACGAGCUUCAUGGGCUUCCUCUGAAGCCUCAAAGAAGAAUCACU
rnacentral:lncRNA from 1 species